rnacentral:tRNA from 1 species
UGGGUAUUAGUUAAAUAUAUAACAGUUAAAUUGCAUUUAAAAAUUAAUAUAUUUUUAUUAUAUCUUU